UGUUGUGCCAGCCAUCGCGGUUAUACCCCCAGGCCCGAAAUCCAGUAUUGGUCUAAAGCCCCAGCAUUAGGAGCUUUUUGGGCAAAAGUAAAAUUUUUUUCCGUCAAAAACUCUCUUUUAAUGCUUUUCUCGGGACAAAUCUGUGGUAGAAACUAGGAUUAGAGACCCUACUAUUCCCAGAAAGCUUUUUAUCCCACCAGGGCAGUAGGGUACAAAGGCCUGAAACCCAAAGGACUUGGCGGUGUCCAAGCGAAUUAGGGGAACCUGCCUUGUAACCAGACAAUACACUAAUUUUCUCAACCUGCCCUAUUUAGCCUGUAUAUCGUUGUUUUGUUGGCUCCCUGAGGAGUCAACCCCUCCCAUUUUGGGGAAAAGUCAAAUCGAGAUGCAGCUCAUGGCCAGGUCGGGGUGGGUUACUAUUAGAAAUUUUUAGAGGAUGGGCUCCUGAAAAACCCCUGAAACCGGACUUAGAAGUAAACCCUUCAAGGAGGGUUGAUCCUCGCUCUUGAACAUGCACAUAUCGCCCGUCACUCUUAGAACAAUAAAUUAAGAUAAGUCGUAACAUAGUAGGGGUAAAA
rnacentral:rRNA from 1 species